GUACUCGCUUCGGCACUACAUAUAAUACAAUUAGAACGAUAUCCAGAAGAUUAGAAUAACCCAUGAGCAAGGAUGAUAAGCUAAAUCGUCAAGAGUUCAAUAUCUCC
rnacentral:snRNA from 1 species